rnacentral:tRNA from 1 species
GGUGGGGUUCCCGAGCUUACCAAAGGGAGCAGACUGUAAAUCUGCCGUCAUCGACUUCGAAGGUUCGAAUCCUUCCCCCACCACCA